CGUGUUACUCAAAAUCCUAUCUAAAAAAUUAUUAAGAUUACGUAAAGAUAGAAAAUCUGAAAAGAAAAAAAAAAUCGAAGCAAUCGGAAAGAAAAUGGCGAUGAUAGUACGAUUGCUUAACAAUCGCAGCAAUCCCUGCCGCGGUCGCUGCCGAGUUCUUCUCGAUCAUCUGAAGCUUCGUCCUUGUAAUUUUAUCCAAACCCAAACCCUAAGUUCUACCGGUCCUCACCGUUUUCACCACCAACUCCUUCCACUGAGAUACCCGCGUUCGAACCAACUUCCCAGCAUCACCGAGACCUCUUUUCCACAGGAGUUAUUCGGUCGUUGCGAGAUUGCAUGCACGAAUUAAGCCGUAGGCACAAUGGAAUGCAUUCUAUUAAAUCCAUACUUAGGUAAUUUUUUUUCUCUGUUUGAUGGUUUGUUUGUGUAGUUUUGUGUAAAUUGUGAAUUGUUUAUUUAUUUGUAUAGAGGCCUAUUCAAGCACUACUAUUCUAUUGAUAUUUCUGUUGAUUCCAUCAUAUACAACAACAAAGCUUUUGAAUUGACUUGCACUGAUACUUCAAAUUAUGACAUCCGAAUAGAUUUUGCUACACUUGGAGCUAUGGUCUUUUGGAUUUCUCAAGACAUUAAGUUAGAGGAUUAUGAAUAUCAAGAGUUUCAACACUUGUUUUCAUUAAGACUUACGAUAUAUAAUUCUUGCAGAUCUUACUAUAUUCUCCCACUCUUUCAUUUUCUAAAAUGAGAAACCGUUACUGUCAGUGAACUUAUUCUAAGUUCAUUGGCAGCGGUCCAAUUGAUUGCUCAAGGGGUUAGCCCAACUCACAAUUGGAAAAUUAGUUUACAACUAGCUAUUGGACAAUCUAAAUAUAAUGAUUGGACCAGCAUGGUAAUCAAAUUUUGCAACUUCAAGGAAGACAGUGCCUGAGAUUUCCGAAGAUUUAGUCGAAUUUUGGUGUUCCACACCUGCGACGAAUUUUACAUGUGUUGUUUGUUGUUGAACUUUAAACUUUUAAAUUUUGUUUAAUAUUUUUCCUUUUGUUUUUUUAAUUGUCUUUGACUGACGUUGAACUUGACGUAGCCUUCAGUCAGGCUUACCCUGGGUUCUUACAUGUCCUUUUCGAAGUAGUUUUCCAAGUCAAACAAUACCCAGUGGACAUCAACGUGGAGUUUCGAGUAAGUUAUUAGAUUCAUGUCAUAUACUUAUUAGUGAUUUGGUAGAAGAUAUGUUGAGAAUUCACAGGUCAGCGAGAGUUUGUUGCUCAUGAAGUUGUACUCCUUGUCAUCUGGUGUUGUGAAUCACUUGUUGUCUGACCACGAGGGUAGAGAGUUGGAUCUUCCAUUUGAAGUUACUGACCAGGGAAUGGAGAUUAUCCUUUACCAGAGAAGUACCUUUAUACUUGGGACGGUUGGGAACAGGGAAAACCACAGUUUUAAGUUUUAACCAUGAAAUGAUUUCAAAAAGAACAAUGUUUUCAGUUGGCAGAGCAAGGAUGCCUUGGUAGUAAAAAUAGCACUGUUGAGCAGAGUUCUUCAGCUACUCAGGAAAGAAAUCUACGCCAGAUUCUUGUGACCGUGAAGCAACAUGUUCUACACUUGAAAAGUUUUGCAUGUGGUGGAAGCGAUUCAACCGAGAAAAGUUUGAUUGAUAUGGCUGAUUUUGAUGAGGAGGAAUCUCAAUUCAAGGAUAUCAAGGAUUCAUUUCAGGAUAUUUCUCCCAAAUCUUACCCUCUUGUAAUAACAUUUCAUAAGUUCUUGAUGAUGCUUGAUGGAACACUCAGUAAUUCAUGCCUUGAGGCUUGAUCGAUUCGUGGAUGCUGGAACACUUAGUCCCGGUCAAUUGAGAUUUUAGAGGCUCAAGAUCCAUUGCAUUGCAGACGAGAGAAGUAACCUACGAUGUUUUUCAGGCUUAUUAAAAAAAUGAAGAUGGAAAAUGGUGAAUUUGAUAUGGCUGAUUUUGUAAUUGAUCUUCAUCGUCAUCGUCUGAGGCAUGGAAAAUUUGUGCGUGAUCAAAUGGAUUUUGUUUACAUUGAUGAGGUUCAGGAUCUCAGAGCGAGUCAAAUUGCUCUGUUUAAGUAUGUGUGUAACAAUGUUGAAGAAGCAAUUCAAGUGCUGCAUAACACCACCUGGUUUAUAUUUGCUAAAAUAGGUCAAAAUUUGCUCGAU